rnacentral:rRNA from 1 species
UACGUAGGGUGCAAGCGUUGUCCGGAAUUAUUGGGCGUAAAGAGCUCGUAGGCGGUUUGUCGCGUCUGCUGUGAAAACCUAAGGCUCAACCUUGGGGCUUGCAGUGGGGUACGGGCAGACUAGAGUGCGGUAGGGGAGACUGGAAUUCCUGGUGUAGCGGUGAAAUGCGCAGAUAUCAGGAGGAACACCGGUGGGCGAAGGCGGG